rnacentral:rRNA from 1 species
CUUUACUGUAACUUGAAAUUGAAACUGGACUUUACUUGCGCAGGAUAGGUGGGAGGCAUGGAAAAUAUUCUUGCGGGAAUAUUGGAGCCAUCGGUGAGAUACCACUCUUGUAAUGUUAGGUUUCUAACUUGGUAUCAUGAUCUGGUCCAAGAACAGUUUCAGGCGGGCAGUUUGACUGGGGCGGUCGCCUCCUAAACGGUAACGGAGGCGUACAAAGGUUUCCUCUGAACGGGUAGAAAUCGUAUCUAGAGUGUAAAGGCAUAAGGAAGCUUGACUGUGAGACCUACUAGUCGAGCAGGGACGAAAGUCGGUCUUAGUGAUCUGACGGUGCUGAGUGGAAAGGCCGCCACUCAACGGAUAAAAGUUA